rnacentral:tRNA from 1 species
AUUAUUUUGACAGAAAAAUGUGAUGAUUUUAGAAGUCAUAAAUAUAUAAUUAUAUUAUAUAAAUAAUA